rnacentral:tRNA from 1 species
GGAGAAGGGGUGUGGCUGAGCCCUAGAGUAUCUGCUUGGCACCCAGAAGGUCCCAGGUUCAAUCCCUGGCCUGUCCA